GGGACAAGAGUUACGAUUCAGUAUAAAAAAAAAUGUUAUCUAGUGAAAUCUAUGAUCAAAAAAUUAAGAAAAAAGCCCACUGAAAUCAUAUGAACAUAAAAUAUACAUAUAAGUUUUCUACAAAAUGCUUCUUGUUACUGGAAUACAAUGGCAGUGAUGUUCUCAUUUUCCAGCUCCAUUGUCAUAAGGAGUUUCUGGGUUUUCCAUCCAUUACCUCUUUUAUUUUAACAACAACUCUGGUAGAUAAAACUAUCACUAGUGCUCAUCAGUCCCUGAUUAUCUUUUUUUCCCAGGCAGACAGAAGACUGCAUUUUCCAGCCUCUCCCUGGCUGGGUGUGGCUGUGUGUUUAGUUCCAGGCAUUGGGCAGGGAAAAGAAGUGAUGUGUGCACCCUCAGGCCAAAGCACUCUGCAGGAAAAUAGAGUUUUAACCCCUGCCAUUGUUCAGCUCAUUUUCUCAGAGGUCACAGCCCAUUCUGCGGGUGUCAAUACCAUGGAUGAAGGCAAAGUGUAAUUUGUAAAAACAAACAGUUAAGCAUGUGUACAUCCUGGAGAGCGAGAUCCUGGUGAGAAGCAGGAUGGAUUCCACUGAUGCAGAAAGAGUGGCCUGGAGGAGCCUGAAAGGGGUGAUUCAGAGCCAGCACGGAGUCCCCAGGCUAGCCCCUCAAUGAGGAAGGCCUGGAGGAUGAACGCACUCACAGCUGUGGCUUCUUCACAAUUGAUUGGGAAACCUCUACUCCUGAGGGCCUCUACCCAGUGACCACUUCGUUAGCCAUCCGUGCUACAGUACAUCUUCCAGGACACAUGAGAUGCUCUGUUGGAGAACAUGGUCUUCACUUAGCAGAAGCAGAAGAGGCAUCAAAAUAAGCCAUUCUCACACUGAUUCUUCAUCACUGGGGAUUUGGCGCCUUUUCACUGUUUAUUUUAAUAUAACUGACAACCUUUGUAGUCAAUUUGGUAUCAUUCAUAUCCUGAAAUAUCAUAGACCUGUCUGUAUCUGAUUUGCAAAGUACAGUAAGCAGAAUAAUGCAAUGAAAGUUAUGAUGCUUUAUCUUAAGGAGGAGUUGAACGUAAAGCUUUCUUGCUUCCUCAUGUUGAUCUGAAAACUAGUCAUUUUCUUCAAUGAAUUCAUUAUGUUGCUAAAAGAAAUUCUGUCAAGUUCAACAUCACAGAGUAGUGAAUUCUUCGCUUAUAGUGAUAGCUUAUAAUAGGAACCAUGCACAAGAGUACACAAUCUUUGAUAUUGAUAUGUUAUUUUAAUCGCAGUAGAUAAUUGUUUUAGGACCAUUAGGGAAUGAAAAUGGGAGAAAGCCAAUUUUCUGUAGUAGUCUUAGAGACAGGCAGUUAUAAAAGUGGAUUUCAUGAAAAACGAUGUUUGUAACUCUAGCUUCAAUCAUAACAUGUAAGUGUAGAAAGACCUGAGGACAAAAUAAAUACAAGCCAAACCUUUCA
rnacentral:lncRNA from 1 species